AUCUUCUUCCUCUUCUGCGGAAAAACUUUGUUCAGUUAAAUCUCGUUCGUUCGUUAUUUUCCCCUGUGAGAUGUAGAUCUCUCGAUCUAUGUCUCAAAUUCGUUCUUGUUAGAUUUCUCAGUUAAAUCUAUUUGUCCUUCUCGUUGAAUCUUACAUUAAUUUGAUUUUAGGGUUUGGAAAUUAUGGUUCGAAAAUCUCAAGUUGUUGUUUGUGGUUUUUGAUUUUUGGGUUAUCAAAUUAAGAGCACACUUCCGCAUCUCCAUUGAUUUUGGGUUUAAAUUCAGUGAAUAGUGAUACAGACAAAGAGGCUUCAUUAUCCACAAGCAGCCAUGUUCGAAAGUCCAAAGAACAAAAAGAAAACAACAGAAAAAAAGUUAAGAUCAAAUUUUUUUUAUUAUAAAUGUUCAUCUACUGCUGCUAGAUAUCUUUGGAUGAUGACGACCUUUCUUUUGGUAUUGCUCAUUUUGGUACGUAUCGGCAACAAUCAUGGUGAUGAUGAUGCUCUUCGGGAAUGGAACUUGAACCACCCUCGCCUCUUAGACUUUGCAGAUAAAGCCAUAAGUCAACAUAACGGCAGAUCCAAGACAAACUUACGGUUGGAUCACUUGCUUCAUGCCGAGUUGAUCAACAGAGGCAAAGAAUAUCGAGGAGGAGAUGCGGAGUAUAAACUUGUUUUGGUAGCAAUAAGCGAAGAAGAAACUAUGACAAAUGCAGCUCCUCGCCGCAGAAAAUAUGAAGUUCAUAUUGAGGUUAAUUGGAUGGGUCCAAGAGAGGGUCCCUUUGUGUAUUUGGUUUCUUUUAAACAAAUCUGUUUCUUAAGAUUUUUUUGUUGAAACAAAGGUGAUUUCACCUCCAUUGGUUUCAUUCUCAGUUUAAUGAAAUUGAAUUGUGUGGUCACUGGUUUGGUGCGAUGAUGUUCUUGUCA